GUCGUGAGAUGUUGGGUUAAGUCCCGCAACGAGCGCAACCCCCGUCGCAUGUUGCCAGCAUUUAGUUGGGGACUCAUGCGAGACUGCCGGUGACAAACCGGAGGAAGGUGGGGAUGACGUCAAGUCAUCAUGCCCCUUAUGUUCAGGGCUACACACGUGCUACAUUGGCGCGUACAGAGGGCUGCGAUACCGCGAGGUGGAGCGAAUCCCUUAAAGCGCGUCUCGGUUCGGAUUGAAGGCUGAAACUCGCCUUCAUGAAGGCGGAGUUGCUAGUAAUCGCGGAUCAGCAUUGCCGCGGUGAAUACGUUCCCGGGCCUUGUACACACCGCCCGUCACACCACGGAAGCAAGCAACACCCGAAGCCGGUGGCCUAACCCUUUUGGGAGGGAGCCGUCGAAGGUGGGGCUCGUGACUGGGGUGAAGUCGUAACAAGGUAGCCGUACCGGAAGGUGCGGCUGGAUCACCUCCUUUCUAGGGAAGUCUCCAGGAUUGGAGCGCCUGGACCGCCUCGAGCUGCAUUCCGCAGCGCGAUGAGCGGCCAGGUCCUAGCAAUGUCGACCGAGUCUGGACGCAGGCGCGCGCCCUUGUGGCGGGUGCCUCGCAUGCUGUUGAGUUUUGAGAGACCGACGGCGAAGCCCGCCGGCGCCUCUUGCGCGGUCCUUGAAAACUGCACAGUUUUUCCAAUGUAACGGGUAUCACCGCGUGCUCGACGCCAAGUCGAGCGCGUGAUCACCGUCAAGAUAAGAAGGGCACACGGUGGAUGCCUAGGCACCAGGAGUCGAUGAAGGGCGUGAACGGCUGCGAUAAGCCACGGGUAGGCGCUGAAUAGCCUGUGAUCCGUGGAUUC
rnacentral:sRNA from 1 species